AGAGUAUCAUAUUGGAUACAGCUCCGUCAGGUCUGUCUGUAUACUCUCUUUGUACAAAUAAAUGUAUCUACAAUCAAACUUUCACUUUAACAGCUUGGUGCCAAAUGAACCCGGGAGUGGGGUAAUUGGACAAAAGCCAUAGAGGAGAAGAUGAUUGGAUACUGAGACCUUUGGUGCCAACAAAGGCUCAUCUGUUGUUUGAAACAAUAAGUGACCUGGAGUGCUUUCUUGCAGAGAGCAGUGCCAACAUGUUUUUUUCUGCUUCAUAGUAUUCUCUGCGGCAGUUCAAGCUGGGUGCAAGAUCAAUACACUAAAACAGUUCUGUACUGUGGAUGUGACCUCCCCGCCAAAUGCAAGAGGUACCUGGGAACAGGGAUAAACACAGAGGUGUCGCACUCUACAGGGAGCAACUUUGGACCAGUUUCUUUUAUAAAGAGAUGCAGAAAAAUGUUGUUAUCCCUAAAUAAAAUGGAUAUCAAGGAAAUG